AUGGCAGAACGUCUCCUCGUGGCGGCAGACAGGUAUGAGCUGGACAAGCUGAAGCUCGCUUGCGAGGAUGCGCUAUGCAAGAUCAUAGACACGAGCUCCGUGGCCGCUACCCUGGCGUUGGCCGAGCGUCACGGCUGCCCGGCGCUGAAGGAGGCGUGUAUGCAGUUUCUCUCUUCUCCUGAUAACCUGAAGGCCGUCAUGGCGUCUGACGGUUUCGAGCAGCUCAAGACGGGCUGCCCCUCCGCCCUGCUGGAGCUCCUCGUGAAGAACAUGCCAACACAUCAUGAGCAGCCACCAAUUAGUACCAGCAGCCAGCUAUUUAGUUACGCCAAUCAUGAGACAAAGUGA
rnacentral:rRNA from 1 species